UCAUACUUAAAAUAUAUAUAUUAUACAUAUAUGUUAAUAAGGGAGUUUGGCUUGGUGGUUGGUGUGUUGUUUGGGUGGGGAUGAGAUAACAGGUUCGAUUACGUAAAGCUUGGUUUUCUUGUGCUCGUUGAGAUGUUCCCUCCUUGUCCGAGCCGAGCUCGGUUCUCUUAUGCUCGUUGGGCCUGUGCUUGUCCGAGAGAAGGUUCUUUGCGCAUGUGCUUGUGCUCGCUGGGCCCUGCCCCUGCUCGUCCGAGGUUCUGUACGCCUGUGCUCGUCCGACCCACCUCAACUGAAGCGCGAAGAGCCGAGGCCGAGGUCGGACCACAGGUGUGAUGAGCCCAGAGGAGCCGAGGUCGGACAACGGGUACGAUGAGCCAAGAGGUGCGUGGGCCGUGCCUCGCACUCAUAGCACGAGGAGCCACGUCGCUUCCUCGUUAGCACCUCUUCGCAACCAACCUCGCAUCCGCUGGCCAUACUCUCAGUGUUUUUUCAAACUUUCUUACCGGUUUUGACCGUUGGAUCGGUUUUGGGUCGCGUCUGU
rnacentral:lncRNA from 1 species